AAUAAGAUGCCUGAUUAAAGGGCUAUUUUGAUAGAAUAGAUAAUGUAAUUUUAUUACUCUUAUUA
rnacentral:tRNA from 2 species